AAAGUUGAUUCAAUUGACAAACGAAAACAAUGGAUGAAUGGAUGUUGUUGGGGGUUCACAAUUUCAUCUAAUCCGCUCUCUCUUAUCUACUCCUCUUGAAUAUUAGUUUGAUUAAUUAAUUGUCAUGCGACUUUCUUAGCCUACCCUUAACCCGAUCCCUCGGCGAAAAGAGCCUAAUAUUAACUACUGGCUUGCUAUCCCUAGCCUCCCC
rnacentral:lncRNA from 1 species